AUGUGCUGUCCUCAUGUUGUAUGCGGUAGAUGUGGUCUUAAUGGGCAUCUUGUUCCUAUUUGCAACACUGUGCUUCCUUGGGAAUGUGUGGCUCCUAUGUGUGGAUUUCAAGCUAAGGGAAAGGGGUUCUUCUAUAUCCAUGAUGCUAGUACACCUAACCAGAACACUGAUAGGAACAGAUAUAUUGUGAUCACUGUGGUUGAGGGGCAAGCUAGUGGCUGACAGUUAGAGGAAUUUUUUAAUGCUUACAUUAACACAAAAUGGAAAUGCUCAGCUAGAUCGAUUGUGCUCAAUACUUUUGUAAUGAGAUUUCCUUCAUCCAGAGAUGUUGACAAAGCUUGUUUUGCUGAAACCAUGAACAUUAAAAGUUGUGGGGCUGUGGUGGGUCUUAAAAAGUGGUCUGAAUCUGUUGGUGCCAAGGGUGUACUUAACAUUGCUUGGGUUAAUGUAAGCAACAUUCCUCUGGACAAAAGACAUGAAAAAAUAUAG
rnacentral:rRNA from 1 species